rnacentral:pre_miRNA from 1 species
CACUGACACGCCUGGAUCAUUGCUCAGCCUGUUUUUAUUUCUAGAUGAGCAAAGUUUCAGGUGUGUAUGUGG